rnacentral:misc_RNA from 1 species
GUAGGAUCGCUUAUAGUAAUUUUUGGAGAGGGAUUAGUGGACAGAUCAUCGGCUGCUAGACGUUUUCGAGAACUCUGAGGAUCACCAGGGUCCGGUGGAUCCGGAGGUCUGUCUAGGUCCAUUAUAAUUAAAAGAAAGAGAAGAAGAAAAAAAAAAAAUUUAUUAAAAUACAAAAAAAAAGCACUUACCAGGACUUACAAAUGUUACUAGAAACUAAUACAACUAAUUACCCACUAUUUUAACUAAAAAAAUUACAAUAAAUCCUAAUAAAAAUAAAUUAAGCGACAACAAUCUCUCUAAUACGUGUGUCAACCAUCAAUUCGCGCCAAAAA